UGUCCAGCAGGUUGUAGUGUGUCAGAAUUCCACUGUCUAUAUUGAGUCCAUGACUUUCUGUACCUAGGAGGUUGAUGAAGUGCAGUUUAUAGGCUUGUCUGUGAAAAGUCUCUGCACAUGUUCAGUUUGAGAGUCCAAUAUUGAAGCAUUCUUCACUGCAGAUUUCUACCAUUGCCUGGGAUCUCUGGAUGGAAAGUCCAUCUAAGAGCUGAGGAUUAUCAUAACUUCUGUCUACAGCAGUGGCAAUAUGCAGGGGGUGCACGGGGGUGACCCCCUGAGGGUGCUGGUGCACCCCUGACAGGCAGCAGUCCGCACUUAGGUGACGGGCAGGUGGGAGCACUGGUGCCCCGCCCUGUGAGUGCCAGCUGGGGAGUGGGGGCACAAGGUGGAGCCCUGCUGGCACUUCCCUCUGCCAUGGCUUCUUGAGAAGAAGCCUAAUGAAGAAGAAUUUUUCAUGGAAGAGCUGGAAUCGCAGAAGAGAAGGAACAAUCCCUCAGCGAGAAACAACAUAGCAGCAGCAGCUCCUCUCUUUUCCUUGUCAGAGGAAGAUGACAGCAGUUUCCCACCCUACAUUGAAAUGCCUCAGUUUCCAAAGAGAGACCCAAACUGCUAAGUUUCUGGCAUGAGUCAGAAAGGGUUGGAGUCUAGCUCUGAAUCAAGAGUCUCCCAUCUGGAUGGAGGGUCUGUGCCCAACCUUACAGGGUGCGGGUUCUCUCAUUUUGUCUGGAGGGAGACUAAGGAGGACACCUUGGGGUUCCAAGACAGCGAGAAAACCUCCCUUUCAGACAGCUCCUCCUUGGAAGACUCUAGAUAUCCAACAGAAGGAUACGAGCAGUGUAAUGUGGACGUGGACAGUGCCAACAAGAGGCCUUCCUUCAGGUGACUGUGCUGACAGAUGGUCUUCAUUUUUUACCCUUCCUUUGAGGACCCACAUCUCUCCACAAGGGGCCACCUUUACCCUGACCUGGAGAGGCUUCCCUUCCCUGAGCACAUAGCUUGCUUGAAAGUACAAGUCUCUGAAGACUCCAGUGAGCUCCCUCCCCAGGACAUUGGCCUUCAGACUUUACAGUUCUCAGAGGACAAGGACAUUUGAAGUGACUGUGACAAUGAGACAGACUUUCUGGCCACACAGUCAGCAGGAGGAACACUGCCUCCAGCCACGAUGCUAAGAGAGACUUUUGAAGCUGGGACAUGGGGAAUGCAUGGGACAGUGGAGGAAAAGAACUACCAAAAGCUUAAAUUCCUGGGCUAUCAGCAGGUGCAUUGUAUGUCAAGAAACUGAUGGCAUCAUGGGGAGGAAUGAAAGGACAAGCAUUUGUCAGCCUGUGCCUUUUUGUGCAUCACUACCCAGACAGGCAGGUGAUGUCCAUUUCUGAAGUUCAAGCCAGAAGCAUGCAAUAAUCAAGGGAAACUCCUGCACAUGUUGUAUGCCUGACCUGCCACUAGCAGGCACUAUUUUAGAAGACUGAUGUUUGUGCUCGGCACCCUGUAAGAUACCUCACAACCAGCCUUAAUAGCAUGGCAAACUUUGGCAUAACUUCCCUCAUAUGGAAUUGAGACGUAGCACACCUAAGAUCACAGACCUUGCUGUUGCUAAGUUCAGAAAAAAGUGCUCAUGCAGAUAGCCCUGUGCAGAGGGGGUAUCAGCCUCUCACUGUGUUUUGAAGGAAACAAAGAGCCUGAUUAAGCCAGAUGCUGUAUUUGCGUAAAAAAUAUAACAGCUCAACCAUCUUGUACAAUUCCUCCAAUCACUUAUUUAUUUUACUUGUCCUGCAUGUCCUCCAGUGCAUGCAGGCACAUGCUGCACUUAAUCACACCUAUUCAUUUAGCAGUACAUGCAACCAGUCUAGAAUUAUCGGGAAAAGCUCCCUCCCCCUCCAUGAAUUACAAGCAUCUCAGGAAAAACAAGAGCAAACUCUCUGCAGUGAGAGUUUGACACAUCAGAGUGCUCUGAAAAGGGACUCAAGAGGUCUCGGUUCAGUUCCCUGCACCAAUACGUCUUCUAGACCUGCCACUUGCUCUCUCUUUGCCUUGCUAUACUCAUCUGUUAAUUGAGAACAGUGAUCAUAGUCAGUCUGACAGGGGUUGUGUAUGAAUUUAAUAACUAAUGUUUAGGGGAUGUGGCAGCGACAUGGGAGGGAAACAAGAGUGCCUUUAUAUACAUAUUUUUCUACCUCAUGAGACAUUUGUGUGAGGUUCCCACUGGACCAAGUUUUAAAGUCCUGAAUCAUCGAAUUCUCGAGUAGAUUUCAUGGCAGCCGUCCACCCUGCACCCACUGCUGAGGGCACUGGAGGGAGGGGGCGGGUGGAGCCGCCAUGUAGACAGGCCCAGGAUCUAUGUGGGCAGGGUGCAUUUGGCGGGCUGGAUGGACAAGAUGGUUGCAAUCCAGUCCUGUAACAUCUGGCAGCUACAACAAGCCCUUUUGGACGACAAGAUGCAAAAACAAAGGAGGCCAAGAAUUAGCAAGUGAGAGGAAGCUUCUGGUUCCUACCUGUUUUUAUUUCUUAUAAAUUCAACCAUGGACAGAUUUAAAUACUCAAUCAGUGUUGGAAGGUACAGCACACCUGGAGAAGACAGGAAACUCCAAGGUGAUCUGGGGGACUAAGCUAUUCUACAGCAAAACAAAUUUAGCCUCCUCUGGGGAUACUUAUAUCUGGAGCCUUAUGCAGCCCUGUGAAAGCUUACAUCAGGGGUCAGCAACAUUUUUGGGCAGAGUGCCAAAAACACCCACAACUUCAACUUGUAAGAUGUUGGUGUGCUGGGGCAGAUGAUGGGGGAGCCACGAGGGGCACAAUCCUUGCUGUUGCCAUGUAGCUCCGGCCCCUUCCCUGCUGUCCAUCCAGAGGCAUGUAUGCCAAGCAAAAUGCUUUUGAGUGCCACACUUGGGCACUGGUGCCAGGGGUUGCCUACCCCUGGCUUACAUAAUGCACAGCCCCAUAUUGGUCAGCAGCCACCUAUGAGGUAGGACAUGAUCACCUAGUUGUCAGAGCGGUGCUUACAUCACAAGGACUGUUGGCUCAUCUCUUUCCUGGGGUCCUGAACCUGGUGGCUUGAGUGACUCUGGACACCUUCGCGAUAGGAGCUGCUCAGCAUGUGAGAGAAGGAAAGCUUGUUUAAGCCAACUUUGAACAAUGGAAGUCAUCGACCUGAAACUACCCAGCAGAGGUAAGAUCCCCAUGAUGUUCUCCAUGCCUAAUCUCUAGUCCCACACCCAUUCUUGGAAGCGCAAGGAAUAGGUGGAUUAGCUAACAUCAGCUUUUCUAGAGCCAGAUUUUCAGUUGUGCAAACUAGUGUUAAUUGGUGGCCUGGACUAUAGCUUGGGUGAUUGAUACCACAUCAGGAUCAAGCCUUCAGCCUCUGAACACUGACAUGCCUCCAAUCAUCUGAGACUGUGUUAGAUGUUCUAGGAAAGGCCUCCUUCCAUCCCCGAGAUAUUUCUGACCCUGUCCUCCUUGCAGCCAGGUGGGUGGUGUGAGGUGUCUCUGUAGACAUUACCUAAGCUUAAGCACUAGGGCGGCCUAUACACGUGCUAGUUUGCGUUCUAAUUGGAACAUGUUGGAGCAGGCUCAGUUAAUCGAGUCUGCUCCACAUUCUAAUUAAAACGCUGCAGCAUUGCUUCACUGUCUUCUGUAUUAAGCCCCCCUCCCACCUCCCGCCACAUUUUAAAAUGGCUGUGGGGGUGCUUUAACUAAAGCUCAUUGAAUAUGCUUUAGUUGAAGUGCUCCAGUGACCAUUUUAAAAUAUGGGAUGCUUAAUACAUGUGAAGGUAAGUCAUUUUAUUAGAGAGGCUGUUGGGGAACCACUCUAAUUUAAACAGUCCCUCCCCAUCCCCUUCCCACCCCUUUCCUUUAUUUUCCUGAAAACAAAUGUCACAGUAAUCUCCCCUUUCAACUGGCUGGGCCAUUUUGCAAGCAAAUCUUCUAGCAUGACAGAGCAGGAGAAAAGGGAAGAUGCAUCUUCUCCCUGACCAAGUCCACUCUUGCCUCUUUAGCUGGUACAGCUGUGGCCAUUGUGCAUGGAACUGAUGAUUAUAGAUUUUUAGCUUCUGAUGCUGGCCGACACCAAAGCAUCAUCUCCAUCCUACUGACCAAGAUGAGCUUUUUGGCAGAACUAAAUUACAUUAAGGAAAGUGCCUUUUUAGCACUACCAGCUGCCUCAGAAGGGUGGCCUAGAGAGCUCUCCUGUUGUUGCUGUGCUAGGAAACCUUUCCUUUAUAGCCAGGCCACAGGAUUUGGCUUCAGCAGAGCUGCUGUAGGUGGUGAUGAAUGAGACCACUGGGAAUCAACAGAAUCCUUUUCCUCCACUUCAGGUUUUUCUACCAGUGAUGCCUCUGCAGGGAGAUGCCUGAUGGAUCAAGCUCAGGGCAGUCUUGGCCCAGGGUUUGGCCAGGCAGAUGUAGAGCCUGACAUUACUGUGAGCCUUCUGUUGGAGAGACUUCAACAGGAGGAGGAGACAAGAGAAACCAUUUACUCCAGCCUGGAGAAGGACUUGCAGGGGGAUACAAAGAGCCUGGAUAGGAGCCUUGUCAGGAGGAUCAUCCACUUGGCUUCCAAAGACAUGAGGGAGACCCAAUAAGAAAAUGAUGAACUGCAGUUGGCCGCAGGAAAAACCCUCAUGGCACUUCCUGGCACCUUUUACAAUUGGGUGAUGUACGAGCUGCAGAAUCACGUGGGCAUCAUGGAGCUACCUCCAGUUUUCUUCUUGAUUACACUGGGUGACCUGGCUUCAGCCUAUGGUACAGCAUUGGCUCCCUUGCUUCCGGGCUUUGAUCAGGGAUUGUGGAGGGAAGGGAUAAAUACCACUCUGUCCAAUGGGACUGUCACAACCCAAAGUUGUGGUUUUUGUUUGUGUGUGCUUCGGCAACGUUAAAUUAUGUUCCCACCUAAAUUACAGUUUCUUUGCAUGGUGGAGUUCUCUGCUGUGGAGGGGAGCUCCGGGUGCAAAAGGCUUUCCCGCCGUUUUGUAGCUUCUUUGCAGGGUGCAUUUCUUUGCUGCAUACUAGUGAUGCACGUUGCAAAGGAGUUCCCGCCAUUUGUAUUUAGAUUCGCGCCACAUUAUUGGCCGGUUCUAAAUGUAGGCACACGUGGCGGCUAGCUAUUGGCUUGCUAGCCGUACAAAAGGCUUGGGUAACUUCCGCCCAAGCCGGAGAGAGAGGAAAACUGGAGAGAUACAGAACUCGCCAGGAGAAGGAGACUUCGUGCUGUGUGAAGAUCUCUAAGUGAUGUGGACCCUUGCGGACCCAACGCGCCUCUCUUAAGCAGGCAAUAGAGGCUUAAUAACCGAACCCACAGAGCUUUAACAACUCCGGAGGGGGGAACAAAAGAACGAACCGCCUCUAGCCUCUCCCCGUCACCGAGCGCAAUCCAAGACGUAUCCCUUUCCUGUAAACUGAAUUUUCGAACCCACGGAGUCUUAACAACUCCGGGGGACCAGGGAACCAAACCCAAUUUUUGAACCCACGGAGUCUUAACAACUCCGGGGGACCAGGGAACCGAACCCAAUUUCCGAACCCACGGAGCUUAAACAACUCCGGGGCCUGGGAACCGAACCGAACCCAUGGAGCUUCGACAACUCCGUGGGAAAGAAUUUGUCGUGGUCCUCCAACGAGGAUUUAAGCGGAGCUGCACCUGGAAAGCUGUCCAGCCUACACCACUACCAUCUUUGGGUGUAAGUAAAUAAUCUUUUAA